UACAAUUGCAACUUCCAGUUCACUUGGAGCAAGAUUCAGCUAAACAAAAUAGAGACCUGCAGAACAUCCUUGCUGAUGUGGCAGAAGGACCAGCCACCCACAGCUUCAGCUGGAACAGCCAUACUGUGGGUUUCUGCACGCCCUUAGAGCAAAGGAGGCACAGGUGUGCACUGGCUGCCACCUGGGAGGUAUCAUGCUGGUAAUAAUUCCUCAAGCCAGGUACCUUUAACUCUUAACAACACUGUUUGCAAUCUGAUGAAGGAAAACAGAGCUGUCAUGUGUAAAUGAGGGCAUAAUUCAGCCUGGAGACCUACUAAUGGUGCACUCCAAAAAAAAGAAGAAGAUUCUAUCUGGCUCUGAGCUGAGCUGAAUCUGCAUGUCUAGUAGUGAAGGACAGCAACCUUUCUGCAUAUGAAGUCUCACAUAACAUCAUUGAAAUGAAGUAAAAUCUGGAAGCUGUUUUCACCAUCAUCCUCCA